ensembl:lncRNA
UUUUUUGGGUGUUUCUAAGUUACAAAUUUAAUUUUCUUUAUAGUUAGAGGGCUACUCAAAUUACCUAUUUCAUAUUGGGUGAGUUAUAGUUGUUUGUGUUUUUCAAGCAAGUGGUUCAUUUUGUCUAAGCUGUCAAUUUUAUGUGUGUAAAACUGUUUGCAGCAUUCCCUUAUUCUUUUGGUGUCUGCAAGGUAGGCUGUAAUAUGUUCUGUUUCAUUUCUGAUAUUGGUAAUUUGUGUCUUCUCUCUUUUUUUCCCUUGUCCAUCUUGUUUGUCAAUUUUAUUGUUUUUUUUCAGAGAAACAAGUAUUUGAUUUAUUGAUUUUCUUCUACUGUUUUUCUGUUUUAAAUUUAAUUAUUUUCUCAUUUCUGUUCUUAUUUUAUUCUCUUGUUUCUGCUUGCUUUGAGUUUCUGGUGGGAGAUUAGAUUAUUAUUUUGAAACUUUUACUCUUUUUGAAUAGACAAAAAGUUAAGUAAACAGAUAAAGUAAAAAGUAAUGUGUAAAGUAUAAAUUUCGCUCUCUUCAUUGCUUUAACUAUGUCUUAUGAAAUGUUUUAUGUUGUAUUUUUAAUUUCAUUCCUCUAUCUGUGUUUAGAAUCAUUUCAGAUAGUGUUAUAAUUUCUGCUUCAAUGGUAAAACUUAGAAAAUUUAAGUGUAUUUUUAUUUUUAUCUUGAAACUUCCUUUUUGAUCCAUGGAUUAUUUAGAAGUGAGUUUCCAAGUGUUUGGAGAUUUGCCUAUUAUCUUCCUGUUAUCCUUUCUGGAUUAAUUCUUUUAUGGAUGGAGAACACACUCUAUAUGAUACCAAUUCUAAAUUUGCUGAUGUUUGUUUUAUGGCCUAUCUAGGUGUAUGUUCUGUGGGCAUGUAAAAAGAAUUUGUAUACUGCUAUAUUGGGGUGGACCAUUGUACAAAUAUCAAUUACAUGCUGUUGGUGGAUGUGAUUUUCAGUUCCUUUACAUCCUUAAUGGUAUUUAGUCUAGUUGCCCUAUAAAUUGUUGAGAGAGGGGUACUGAAGACUCCAACUAAAAUUGUUGACUUGUCUAUUUCUCCUUUCAGUUUUAUCAGUUUUUGCUUUACACAUUUUGCAAUUCUGUUGAUCAGUGAAUACAUAGGUUGGUUCAAAUAUAAACCUGUAUUAGUAAAUAUAGGUUUACUAAGUGUUAGUAAACCUAAUAUUUAGGAUUACUAUAUCUUCUUGGUGGAUAGAACCUUUUAUCAUUAUAUAAUAUCCCUCUCUGUCUCUAGUCAUUUUCUUUGCUCUAAAACUUAUUUCAUAUAAUACAGCAGCUUCUGCUUUCUCUUAAUGAAUGUUUUAUAAUACAUAUUUUCCCAUUCUUUUAUUUUCAAUCUGUCUAUAUUGUACAAUGAAGUGAGUUUCUUGUAGAUAGCAUAUAGGUAGAUGAUUUUUUAAUCUACCCUACCAGAUUUUCUUUUUUAAUUGUGCAUGAAGACCAUUUAAAUUUAAGGUAAUUAUUGAUUUGUUAAGACUUAAGUCUGACAUUUUAUUUUCUGUUAGUUCUUUCUGUUUUAAAUUUUUCUGUUUUCUUUUUUCUGCCAUCUUUUAAGCUACAUUGUUGAUUUUUUAUAUUUUGGAACAUUAUCUAAAUUUAUUUUUGAUUUAUCUACAGUGUUUCUAAGUGCACAUCUUUGUAUAGCUGUUUGAUUGAUUGCUUUGUUAUAUUAUAUAGAUGUAACUUAACAUCAGUCUUCUCGUGUCCCCAUUUUCUUAGUUUGAGUAUGUCUCCCUUUGCCCUAACCCAUUUAAAAUAUAAUUGCCUUAAUAACUUCCUCUAUCUGUGUUUAGAAUCAUUUCAGAUAGUGUUAUAAUUUUUGCUUCAAUGGUAAAACUUAGAAAAUUUAGAAGAGAGAUUCUAUUCUAUUUACUCAUAUUUCUACUUAAUGUGUUCUUCAAGUAUUAAGAACUACAAACAGGUCCUUCCAGAUCAGGCUCUAUUCUUUUAGUUCCACUGUCAUUGAAACUAAUGAAGCAAAUAUUUUGUGAUGGUUUCAAUGCCAAAAAAAUCUGCCACAUGCCUUUUUAACUCAAUCCUACAAUUUUAUAAUGGUAUGUAGAAAAUUGAAGUUUACCAAUGUUCUUUUACGGCUAAUUUUAUUAGAAGUCUUCUAGCAGUUUGGAAAGUGGGAAGUAGAGGCUGGCUGCAAACAACAAAGCUGAUGUAAUUAGUUUCUCACAGAUCCAACAAGAACAAAAGCAUCAAGGUUGGUUUGCUUUUAUUAUAUAUGACACUUACUAAUAAGCCAUGCUAUAUAUAAUCUGAAUAUUUGUGUCCCCCAAAAUUUAUACAUUGAAAUACGAACCCCCUAGGUGAUGGUGUUAAUGGAGGUGGAGCUUUUGGGAGGUGACUUGGUCACGAGAGUAGAGCUUUCAUGAGUGAGAUUAGUGCCCUUGUAAAAGAGGCCCUAGGGAGCUCAUUAGCUCCUUCUGCCUCGUGCGGAUGCAGUGAGAAGGCAGCUGUUUAUGAACCAAGAGGGCUUUCACCAGAAGUCACUUUUGCCAGCUCCUUGAUCUUGGACUUCCCAGCCUCCAAUAUUGUGAGAAAUAAAUUUCUGUUGUAUAUAAGCCAUCUAGUUUAUGUUUUAUUACAGCAACCCAAAGGGGCUAAAAUAGGACAGACACAUGGGUACACUUCAGGUAAGGGAUCCUUAACACCAAAAUCUAUUUUCAUUUA